UGCAGUCGAGCGACGCAUGCCGGAGGGGUAACCCACUGGUAUGACGGAGCGGCGAACGGGUGAGUAACACGUGAGCAACCUGCCCCACAGACCGGAACAGCCCAGGGAAACCUGGAUUAAUGCCGGAUGACCUCAUCGGACCACAUGGCCUGAUGAGGAAAUGCCUUUGUGCUGUGGGAUGGGCUCGCGGCUUAUCAGCUAGUUGGUGGGGUAACGGCCUACCAAGGCGUCGACGAGUAGCUGGUCUGAGAGGACGAUCAGCCACACUGGGACUGAGAUACGGCCCAGACUCCUACGGGAGGCAGCAGCAGGGAAUCUUGCGCAAUGGGCGAAAGCCUGACGCAGCAACGCCGCGUGGGGGAUGACGGCCUUCGGGUUGUAAACCCCUUUCAGGAGGGAAGAAAUUGACGGUACCUCCAAAAGAAGCACCGGCCAACUACGUGCCAGCAGCCGCGGUAAUACGUAGGGUGCGAGCGUUAUCCGGAAUCAUUGGGCGUAAAGAGCUCGUAGGCGGUUCAGCAAGUCGGCUGUGAAAGUCCGAGGCUCAACCUCGGAACUGCAGUCGAUACUGCUGUGACUCGAGUCCGGUAGAGGAGAAUGGAAUUCCCGGUGUAGCGGUGAAAUGCGCAGAUAUCGGGAGGAACAC
rnacentral:rRNA from 1 species